GUCUAAAUAGUUUAAUCAAAACACUAAUCUUGUAAAUUAGAAAUACUUAAAGUCAUAGACU
rnacentral:tRNA from 1 species